GGCGUGCUUUAACAUGCAAGUCGAACGGAGCGUAGCAAUACGCUUAGUGGCGGACGGGUGAGUAACGCGUGAGCAAUCUGCCUUGUACAACGGGAUAACACAGAGAAAUUUGUGCUAAUACGGUAUAUGACCACAGUGGGGCAUCCCACAGGGGUAAAAGAAUUUCGGUACAAGAGGAGCUCGCGUCCCAUUAGCUAGUUGGAGGGGUAACGGCCCACCAAGGCGACGAUGGGUAGCCGAUCUGAGAGGAUGAACGGCCACACUGGAACUGAGAUACGGUCCAGACUCCUACGGGAGGCAGCAGUGGGGAAUAUUGGGCAAUGGAGGCAACUCUGACCCAGCAACGCCGCGUGAAUGAAGAAGGUCUUCGGAUUGUAAAGUCCUUUAAUUGGUGACGAACAAAUGACGGUAGCCAAAGAAUAAGCCACGACUAACUACGUGCCAGCAGUCGCGGUAAUACGUAGGUGGCAAGCGUUGUCCGGAAUGACUGGGCGUAAAGGGAGCGUAGGCGGCGAAACAAGUUAGGAGUGAAAUCCCGAGGCUUAACCUCGGAACUGCUUUUAAAACUGUUUUGCUUGAGUGAUGGAGAGGAAAGUGGAAUUCCUAGUGUAGCGGUGGAAUGCGUAGAUAUUAGGAGGAACACCAGAGGCGAAGGCGACUUUUCUGGACAUUAACUGACGCUGAGGCUCGAAAGCGUGGGGAGCAAACAGGAUUAGAUACCCUGGUAGUCCACGCUGUAAACGAUGGAUACUAGAUGCGGGAGGUACGACUCCUUCCGUGUCGCAGUUAACACAAUAAGUAUCCCGCCUGGGGGAGUACGGCCGCCAAGGUUGAAAACUCAAA
rnacentral:rRNA from 1 species